AAAGGUAUAGCUGAGUACAAGAGAACUAAUUCCUACUCUCAUACUUCAUUCUCUGUUUCAUCUUUCUUUUACUUCAUCACCAUGUCUACCUGUGGCAACUGUGACUGCGCUGACAAGAGCCAGUGUGUGAAGAAGGGAAACAGCUAUGGCAUCGAAAUCGUCGAAACCCAGAAGAGCUACAACGAUGAUGCCGUGAUUGAAGUUGCCGGAGCGGAGCACGAUGGCAAGUGCAAGUGCGGAGCAGCCUGCGCUUGCACUGACUGCACUUGUGGACACUAAAUAAUAAUAAACAGAAAUAGUAGUUUGGGGGGAAAACAUAAGAAUGUAAUAGGAGGUGUGGUAUGAUAUGUGUGUUUGUGCUGAAUAAGCUGUGUGUAUUCCUCCAUCUUCUUCUGUGUUUGUGUGCUAUUGUUGGGUGUCAGCCAUGGCUGUGCUUCAUACAUAGUAACUGUGUAACGUAAUUAUCUUUGUUGUUUAAUGGUAAUUUGGUCAUAUUAUUAUUA